GAACCAACUGGGAUUACCUUAGUAACGGCGAGUGAAGCGGUAAAAGCUCAAAUUUGAAAUCUGGUACUUUCAGUGCCCGAGUUGUAAUUUGUAGAAUUUGUCUUUGAUUAGGUCCUUGUCUAUGUUCCUUGGAACAGGACGUCAUAGAGGGUGAGAAUCCCGUUUGGCGAGGAUACCUUUUCUCUGUAAGACUUUUUCGAAGAGUCGAGUUGUUUGGGAAUGCAGCUCAAAGUGGGUGGUAAAUUCCAUCUAAAGCUAAAUAUUGGCGAGAGACCGAUAGCGAACAAGUACAGUGAUGGAAAGAUGAAAAGAACUUUGAAAAGAGAGUGAAAAAGUACGUGAAAUUGUUGAAAGGGAAGGGCAUUUGAUCAGACAUGGUGUUUUUUGCAUGCACUCGCCUCUCGUGGGCUUGGGCCUCUCAAAAAUUUCACUGGGCCAACAUCAAUUCUGGCAGUAGGAUAAAUCAUUAAGAAUGUAGCUACUCGGUAAUGUUAUAGCUUAUUGGAAUACUGCU
rnacentral:rRNA from 1 species